rnacentral:rRNA from 1 species
CGUGGGUGAUCUGCCCUGCACUUCGGGAUAAGCCCGGGAAACUGGGUCUAAUACCGGAUAGUACUGCGCGGUGCAUGCCGUGUGGUGGAAAGAUUUAUCGGUGCAGGAUGGGCCCGCGGCCUAUCAGCUUGUUGGUGGGGUAAUGGCCUACCAAGGCGACGACGGGUAGCCGGCCUGAGAGGGCGACCGGCCACACUGGGACUGAGACACGGCCCAGACUCCUACGGGAGGCAGCAGUGGGGAAUAUUGCACAAUGGGCGCAAGCCUGAUGCAGCGACGCCGCGUGAGGGAUGACGGCCUUCGGGCUGUAAACCUCUUUCAGCAGGGACGAAGCGCAAGUGACGGUACCUGCARAAGAAGCACCGGCCAACUACGUGCCAGCAGCCGCGGUAAUACGUAGGGUGCAAGCGUUGUCCGGAAUUACUGGGCGUAAAGAGCUCGUAGGCGGUUUGUCGCGUCGUCUGUGAAAACCAGCAGCUCAACU